rnacentral:rRNA from 1 species
CCCUAGUACGGCGAGUGAGAGGGAAGAGCCCAAGAUUGAAAGCUGGCGUCUUCGGCGUCCGCAUUGUAAUCUCAAGAAGUGUUUUCCGCUUCGGACCAUGCCUAAGUCCCUUGGAAAAGGGCAUCAUAGAGGGUGAUAAUCCCGUUCAUGGCAUGGAGCGCCCGAAGCUUUGUGAUACGCUUUCUAAGAGUCGAGUUGUUUGGGAAUGCAGCUCAAAAUGGGUGGUAAAUGCCAUCUAAGGCUAAAUAUUGGGGAGAGACCGAUAGCGAACAAGUACAGUGAUGGAAAGAUGAAAAGAACUUUGAAAAGAGAGUUAAACAGUACGUGAAAUUGCCAAAAGGGAAGGGUAGGAGGUCAGAGAUGCGUCUUGGAAUUCAGCCUUGCUUCUGCUUGGUGUUUUUUCCAUUUUGCAGGCCAACGUCGGUUUUGGGCACUGGAGAAGGGUGGAAGGAACGUGGCACCUCUCGGGGUGUGUUAUAGCCUUCUACUGGAUACAGCGACCGAGACCGAGGACAGCAGCGUACUCGCAAGAGCGGGCCUUCGGGCACCUUUACGCUUAGGGCGUUGGCAUAAUGGCCCUCUACCACCCGUCUUG